CACUGAUGCUUCACUGCCGUACAACCAUGAGGUUCGUUUAUAUAUAUAUGUAUAUAUAUAUAUAUAUAUAUAUAUAUAUAUACAUAUAUAUAUAAACGAACCUCAUGGUUGUACGGCAGUGAAGCAUCAGUG
rfam:Opisthorchis viverrini opera_v5_124.10, whole genome shotgun sequence.